rnacentral:rRNA from 1 species
CGAACGGGUGAGUAAUGCGUGACCAACCUGCCCCAUGCUCCAGAAUAGCUCUUGGAAACGGGUGGUAAUGCUGGAUGCUCCAACUUGACGCAUGUCUUGUUGGGAAAGUGUUUAGUGGCAUGGGAUGGGGUCGCGUCCUAUCAGCUUGUAGGCGGGGUAAUGGCCCACCUAGGCUUCGACGGGUAGCCGGCCUGAGGGGGCGGACGGCCACAUUGGGACUGAGAUACGGCCCAGACUCCUACGGGAGGCAGCAGGU